AAAGAGUGACAAACAUCUGGAAUUCCCUUCCACAAGCAGUAGUAGAUGCCAAAACUGUAGGAACAUUCAAGAAUAGACUGGAUUCUCACUGGAAGGAGGAAAAGAUAGGAUACGGGGUCACAAAGGCUAUGCCUAAUUAAAUUACCCAUUACCGCGGUAAUCAUGCAUCCGAAGAUAUUUGGGAGAAAAUGUCCAUCCAACGAUGAUCACCGGCUCUAAAAGUAGUCCAAAAGCCCAUCGCCAUUUUGAAAAAUGAUGCCUGUGCGCUUCGUGGCAAAAUGGAGCGAUCUUAGGGCCCAGUUUCACCCACAUUCCACAUAAACAUAAUUAAGCUACAGUGCGUCUUGUCUAUCUUACCAACCCUCUAAAUUGGACUGUCUGUUGGCUGUGCAGCGAAUCACCGUAGCAGGCGCCUUAUAAUACACACGCGCGCCAACAAACAGGCCAACAGGCCGCAAAGGUUCGUCAACUAUAUCCAAGCGGCUCUUCUAUCCUACAAUCAGCAGCUAUAAGCCAAUGCAUGUACAUGUAUUCCGACUUGCAAGCUAAGAAACUAGCAUAGGGCCUAAGAGAUAUCAAAGUAGGUAACAUCAUAGUAAGUUGCAUAUUUUCAUCUUUUGUCCAAAGUGUCUUGAUCAAGAGAAGCUCAUCAACAUGUGUAUAAUCGUUCCAUGUUUUUUUUUUCUACAAGAAAAUGUAUUAAAGGGGGCAUCAAAAUU